GAUGAACGCUAGCGAUAGGCUUAACACAUGCAAGUCGAGGGGUAACGUGUUGGAAGCUUGCUUCCGAUGACGACGACCGGCGGAUGGGUGCGUAACGCGUAUGCAACUUGCCUCACAGUGGAGAAUAACCCGGAGAAAUCCGGACUAAUACUCCAUACACUCUUAAGUACGCCUGUACAUGAGAGGAAAGAUUUAUCGCUGUGAGAUAGGCAUGCGUCCUAUUAGGUAGUUGGUGAGGUAACGGCUCACCAAGCCGACGAUAGGUAGGGGUGCUGAGAGGCAGAUCCCCCACAUUGGGACUGAGACACCGGCCAAACUCCUACGGGAGGCAGCAGUGAGGAAUAUUGAUCAAUGGAGGAAACUCUGAACCAGCCAAGUCGCGUGAAGGAAGAAUGUCCUAAGGAUUGUAAACUUCUUUAGCGAGCGAGUAAGGACUUCCACGUGAUGGGAGUUUGAAAGUAGCUCGAGAAUAAGUAUCGGCUAACUCCGUG
rnacentral:rRNA from 1 species